rnacentral:misc_RNA from 1 species
AAGUCGUAACAAGGUUUCCGUAGGUGAACCUGCGGAAGGAUCAUUAUCGAGUUUUGACUGGGUUGUAGCUGGCCUUCCGAGGCAUGUGCACGCCCUGCUCAUCCACUCUACACCUGUGCACUUACUGUGGGUUUCAGACGGGGUAGCGAGCCUUUACGGGUUCGUGAAAGCGUCUGUGCCUGCGUUUAUUACAAACUCUUACAAGUAAAUGAAUGUGUAUUUGCGAUAUAACGCAUCUAUAUACAACUUUCAGCAACGGAUCUCUUGGCUCUC